ACAGCUCCCGGUGUGCCCCGCGGACACCCGGUGAGUCUGGAGCCGGUCGGUGGGCCCCGGAGGUGCCCGGGAGCGGGGCUGGGGAGCGCGGGGUGCGGUUGUGAGCGCUGGGGAGUGGGGCUGGGAGUGUGGGUGUGCUGGGAGUCCGGCGGGGGACUGGCAGCUGCGGGGGUCCCAGACCUUUCCCUGCCUAGCCCAGCCUGCCUGAGCUGCCAGCCUCGUGACACGUACAAAGGAAGCACCACGGAGGAGCUGAUCUUCUGCAGUGAGGCCAUCAAGUUAGCCAUGAAACUGCAAGCCGUGCAGUGCCUGGAGUGCUCAGUUCAUGAAUAAGCACUGAAGGAUUCUGGUUCCCUUUGCCUGCUGCUCCUCUUUCCUCUGUGGCCAACACCAUGGAAAAGACCCAAGGUUCUCCAGCCUGCUCUCAGUAGAGAAAGACUGACUGCAUCUCUUGCCAAGAAGGCUUCUUGAUGUAAUGAGAGGGGUGCUGCUCCCACGUGAGAAACCAAGAGAAAGGGAUGGAAAAUAUAUGUAUAAUUCAGGAGUCUCCCACUGCCUGAAGCGGCUGGUUAAUCUGGUCCCGCAGAAGGGUCUGUGCAGUACAGAAGCUCCCCAAGCAAGCCCCUGGCAAAGGCUGGCUUGCUGCGGUCAGCAGACUGAGCCCACCACUGCUCCCAAGGAGUGCUUCCUCAAGGUCUUCUGUCCAGACAAGCCUCCUUCCCCAAAAUGCAGGGUCACUUUCUUCACACUGCUGGUCUCUGCCCUCAGCUGAGACACCUCACUCGGGAGGUGGGAACGAGCAGGAAAGAGCUUCCCAGAGGGAUGAAAACACAAACACACAACACCCGGCCCAGGAGCCCAGGACCGCACCCAAACCCUAACAUCCCCCAACAGGGCUUCCCUGCAGACCCACCCUAAAAUCCAUCCUUUAGGUGCCACCUGAAGGUUCAUUUCUCCAGUUCAUUCCUGAAUCCUCAUGACCAAUAACAUAAGAAAGUUGGGAUAACCUCAGGACAGGAAGAGCCCCCACCUCAUUAUCUGUCCCACAGUGGGUCUGAUCCCGGUUUAAGGCACAUAGUGAAGCCCGAAGCAGUGCUGGCCCGGCUGGCACACCCAGGCAGCUCAGUGCCCAGCCCAGAGUCCUUGACAUCUCAGUUCCAAACUGGUUGAGCCAGGGAAGAGGCCCUGCUUGGGAUUGGUGAGGAGCAGGCAGGGGUAUGCAGGACCAAGCACCAUCACUAGGCACAUUCAAUAGGAUUGACCAGGGCUCUUGAGUGGUUCCCAGUUACUCUGAGUCACCUCCAGCAGGGUUCUGGGUUGCACUCGGAUUCCCAGUAGCCCUCAGAGAUUCUCAAGCGGUUUCCAGUUAUUCCCAGUUACACCCAGAGGCUCUUGAAAGCUUCCCAGUUGCCCGCAAAGGUUCUGGGUUGCCCUCUGGGCUUCCUAGUUGGCCGCAGUGGCUCCCUAGUUGCCUCCACAAGGCUCUGGGAUGUUCCACCUUCCCCUUCAGAGGCUCCCAGGGUGAUGGCGUCCCUUGCCCCUGUGUCCCAGCUCAUGCAGCUAGGCUCCCUGCAGCAGUCAGCCCCGCAGGCACGAGAGGCAACGCUUCCCAGGUUUACCACUUAUUUAACAUGUAUUUGCUUGGAAGGAGGGAAAUUGUAUUUCGUAAGUGUCAGGAUUGAGAAAACUCUCCCUGCUCAUGGGAAGAUGGGAAUAAAGAAAAAACAAAAACCCAAUAAACCCCCACAUUUGCUGGAUUUGGGCUGGAUUUUGACUGCAAUGGAACAAGGUAAAACCCCUGAAUACCUGCAGUAUAUUGAUGACAUCAGUGUGUGGAGCAACACAGCAGAGGAAGUGUUUGAGAAAGGCAGAAGAAUAAUCCAGAUUCUUUUGAAAAUGGUUUUUGCCAUAAAACAAAAGUCAAAUGACCUUCAUAGGAGCUCCAUUUUUUAGGAAUAAAAUGGUAAGAUGGGUGUCGUCCAUCUCUCAGUGGAUGUGCCAAAAAAAGAAAAAAAAUCACAGGUCUCCACCAACUAACAAAAAUAAGCACAAGCUUUCUUGGGUGUCAUGGGGUUUUGGGUAAUAGAAAUUCCAGGUUAUAGCCUGAUUUUAAACCCUUGCUAUCAAGUGACGUGGAAGAACAAUAAUUUUGAAUGUGGCCCUGAGCAGCAGCAAGCCUUUGAACAAAUUAAAUGGGAGAUAGUUUGUGCAGUACCACUUGGGCCAGUCCGGACAGGACGAGGUGUAAAAAUAUGCUUUACACUUCAGCCAGGGACAACAGCCCAACCUGGAGCCUCUGGCAGAAAGCACCUGGAGAGACUUGAGGUCCUCCUCGGGGGUUUUGCAGCCAGGGAUAUACAGGAUCUGUGAUUCUGAAUCUCACCUACACCACCUACUUAAGCCUGAGACCAGGCCCCAAACAUACACCCACCAGUCAUGUUUCCCAGACAGCUGUGGCCCAGAUCUAAAGCUGUUUGCAACCCUCACCUUCCUGUGGCAUCCCCAUUGCAUACUAGAAACCACUGCAGCUCUGAACACAUUCUAACCACUUCACGUACACCCUCAUUCCAGCAGGAACAGAGAAAAACUAUGACAGCUGUCAGCAAUGUUUCCCAUGCAGAAAAGGCCAAACUAAAAGCUUUCAGCAGCCCUCACCUUCCCCUGACAGCCCCAUCCCAGCCCCACAACUAGAGCCUAUGUUCCAAACACACACACGGGGCUCUGCUCUUUGUCCUGCGCCUAUGUCUAAGCCUCACCUAAUCCUAGCCAGACCCCAGGUCCAACAGGAAUGCUGCCAGCUAUGGCUCCCAAGAAAAAGCGCCCAAGACAAAGCUUUUGGCAGCCCUCACCUUCCUUGGCAGCCUCUUUGCAGCUCUUCUACCGCUGGGGCUAUAUACUUUGUCUCUCAUCGAAUCCUAACCUUUUUCCCACUCUACCCUAAGCCCAUGUAUAAAAUGGAGCCUCAUCAGCAAUGGCUGUCCGUCCCGCACCGGAUCGUGAGACAUUCCAAUCUUCAUCAGUUCCUAAUAUACUCAGAAAGGGAGGAGUAUAAUUAAGCAUUUCUCAUGGAAGAAGGACUCCAGCACAGUUUUUAAUAGGGUCAGAGACUCCAUGCAAAAAAAAAUUGUUUUCCGUACACCUGACAUACCAAAAGUAUGCAUAUGCAACAAACGUAAACUGAAACAUUAUUCAACAGCUCCUCCACAACCUCCCCAACUUUCCAGAGCUUCUUGGUAAAGAUUGUUGUCCAAAACUCAGCUUUCAUAAUAGUCAUUAAAGCAUUUGAGCAAAAUAGUAAAUUUUUCAAAUCCCCACAACAAAAUCAGCAUAGAAGAUGGGAUCUUCCACAGUUUCCAUUUUAAAUUUUGUAUGCCUCAGUACUGCAGUUAGGGAUGAGGUAAAAUACUUGGGAUAAAAGGGAUAGAAAAAUUAAAGUUUACUACUGACCUCUCAUUUAAUAUGAAGAUGUGAUUAGAAAGAAAGAGAGAUGACAUAUUUAUACACAAAUAAAGAUGGAACUCAUAUUUCUGUAGAGAUUCCAAAGAUUUUAAAUAAACGAGGAAAUGAAGCCAUAACAUACGGCAGUACAAAAAUUCUCAGAACGUACUUAAUUGCAAUUCUAAUUCCAUAACUUACAAGGAAGUACCAUUUAUUUUCAGUGUUCAUACUGCCAGUUCCUUCUUCAGUGCAUGUAAAAAUUACUUAUUUUUGGGCCUUUUGAGCAAACAAGUGUUUGCACACUAUUAAGAUCUAACAUUCUUUCAGAUAAUUUCAAGGUUAAAAAAUGACAUCUGUAAUUCUAAUGUGAGCUGGAAAAUUAGGAAUUUCUUUUCCAGGUGUUUUCACAGAUAUUCAGGAAAAAAUGGGAGAAGUAUGAUAAUGCCUAAGCUGUCAUUGCUUACAAUUUUUGCUAACCAAAUUAAAAAACAAUGCUGCAGUUUCAUUAAUUAAAACAUUCAAUUUAAGUUGCCCUGUGACAAAUUUUUAAGUCCAUUAAUUUAACUUUAACUCAAACUAUUCUUCAGAAUUUGGUGUAGCUGAAAUUAGUUGAAUUAAAAUAGUACUACUUCUAAUUGCUAGCGCUUUCAUUCUAGUUUAUAACUGACCACAUAACUGGAUGAUAAGACAGCAACAGGCCUGAAUCUGCUUGCAUGAAUCCACAAAAGGUAUAUUGGUAAUGAAAUAAAUAAGAACAAAUCUCCAGAUAAAAAGAAUUAAGAUAUUUCAAUUGAAUACAUUCUUACCAGAACACAGCAACCCCAAACACUCAAAAGAAGCUGACUGCACUGGUAUUUGUCCAUUUAAUUUCACUGAGACUUGAGUAAACAAUUCUCUGUACAGUUACCUCUAUACAGUAGAGAGUUGUGUAUGAUAC